ACUGGUUGAAAAUUACCAGCAGUUUCGCCUGUGGCUGCGGGUGAGAUUCUGCACCCAGCGCCACCAGGGGCCUCACCUCACCGCCGACUGCCUUUGUGUGAGUAGCUGAAACCCAGGCCCCAACAGGC
rnacentral:snoRNA from 12 species